AGCGCGACCGAAAUGAUCGGCUACCGUUACGUUAGGCCUAGCUAGCCUGUAGGGAACACCGGGUCCCAGACUACUACGAGGCCUAGGCCGUCUAAAGUAGCUAGGUAUCUAGCCUAGGGUAGGCUAGCUAAUCGUAUAACACUACUGUAACAUUAACAAGAAAGAGGACCAAUGACAGCGUAGCAGAUAACAAAUUUACACGGGCCUAGAGAGAAUAGCAUGACGCCAGAGAGGGCCUACCUACUAGCCAUAGGCACUUGAUUGAUUGAAUUUCUCACUGUACACCACCCUAAAAAAGUGGUGCAGGAGGCUGGUGUAUACCAGUGGUGGCCCUCUAUUAUCGCCUUUUGUAUUCUCAAACUGUAAUUUAAAAUUUAACAAUUUUUCUGAACUAUUUGAUGGAAUAAAUAGUUUUUGUAUGAGGAAAAAUGAUGAUUAUAAUUACUGUACUAUUUUAUUAAGUAAUAAUUCUAAAUGUUAAAUUAUGGUUUACUUUACAGCUUUGUUCUACUCUAUUUCAUUGACAGAGCCCAGUCAUCAAUGGUGAACUCAUCAGCAUGGGAUAUGACAAUAAACCAUUACACCCUGGUAGACCUGGUCCCUAAAAUGAGAGUUGUAAAUGCAGUUGGUUAAAUGAAAGAACACCCAGAAACUUCUACUGAUAUCAACCAUGUUUAUAUUUGGAACAAAAUAUUGAACUGUAAACCAAAAAGAUGUCUGUGUUAAGUGUUAUGACCCUACUAUCACUGAUCAUACUUAGGAUUGUGUUUAUAAGCUUUGCUGCAAAUCUACACAGACUGAUGUCAGUCCUGAAAUUACAGCCCAUGAUAUGAAUGAAAAUAUUUAAACAAUUUACAUCAGCUUAUCAAAAGAAGUACUGUACAUUAUUUAGGGAAUUUAAACAAGCGAAGUGUCUUGUCCAAGAACCCAGGCAAUGUACACAGCAUGUGUCCUUGUACAAGACACUAGAUUUUGGCUUGUAUCUCUCUCUCUCUCUCUCUAUCCAGGUGUAUAAAGCAAUAUAAAUGAUGUUCUUAUAGUAAAACAAUGU